rnacentral:rRNA from 1 species
UACGUAGGCAGCAAGCGUUGUUCGGAGUUACUGGGCGUAAAGGGUGUGUAGGCGGUCUUCUAAGUUUGGUGUGAAAUCUCCCGGCUCAACUGGGAGGGUGCGCCGAAAACUGGGAGGCUAGAGUGCGGGAUGGGAGAGUGGAAUUCCUGGUGUAGCGGUGAAAUGCGUAGAUAUCAGGAGGAACACCUGCGGCGAAGGCGGGUUGCUGGGCUGAUACUGACGCUGAGGCGCGAAAGCCAGGGGAGCGAACGGG